GUUAGAAUUCGGUAGUUGUUUGCUAAAAGUAUGGCAGUUGCAGAAUGCAUCCUUCAACGCACCUGCUAGAAAGCAUUUCCUGGAAGGAUUUGGUGGGUCUUCUUGAUAAAAGACGCCCAUAUUGGAGAAGCAAGAUUUUCUGGUGUAAAGACAAAGUUAGAAGAGAGCACAAGACACUCCAACUAAUGAUGUUGAACUGCACUAGAGAUUCCAGCACAAAGCUCACGCUGUAUUCACAUUCCAUUACUUUGAAAAUUAAUUGGCAUGCGAUAAGCUAAUCUAACACCUACUUUUCUAGAGUUGCACUUCCACCAUUAAAGCUCAUGGGAGGAGAAGAGAGCGAAAGACAAACAGAAAAUACCUGAGACCAACGAAGGGGAGAAGAUCGGCGAAGAAAGGAUGCGGCACUGAGCACGACGGAGAUGGCGGCGGCGGGAUGGUGCGACGCAACGGGAACAGGCGUGAAAAUCGAGAGGCAUAAAGACGGAGGGAUUGUAAUCUUUUUUCUUUUAUUUAUUUUUGUUUAAAUCAAGUGCGUUUGGGCCGUUGGAUUGGCAAGGUGGGCUGCUGAAAGGUGGGCUUGGUUAUAUUACAGAAGUUUAGGCCCGUUUGAUACAAUUCCCAUUUUUUUUUUAAUUUAUGUUUUGUUUCUGAUAAAUACAUUUGAAUUCAAAAGCUAAAUUUCAAAAGUUAAAUUAUAUUCUCA